rnacentral:rRNA from 1 species
AGUUCACCCCGCUCAGAUUGAACGCUGGCGGGAUAUUUUGGCACAUGCAAGUCGAACGGCAGCACGGACUUCGGUCUGGUGUAAGGCGAGUGGCGAACGGGUGAGUAAUGUAUCGGAACGUGCCUAGUAGCGGGGGAUAACCACGCGAAAGCGUAGCUAAUACCGCAUACGCCCUUCGGGGGAAAGUGGGGAAUUCGGCCUCAAAUUAUUAGAGCGGCCGAUAUCGGAUUAGCUAGUUGGUGGGGUAACGGCUCACCAAGGACGAUCCGUAGCUGGUUUGAGAGGACGACCAGCCACACUGGGACUGAGACACGGCCCAGACUCCUACGGGAGGCAGCAGUGGGGAAUUUUGACAAUGGGGAAACCCUGAUCCAGCCAUCCGCGCAGUGUGCGAUGAAGGCCUUCGGGUUGUAAAGCACUUUGCGGAAAGAAAACGGCACGGAUAAUACCCUGCAACUGACGGUACCCGCAGAAUAAGCACCGGCUAACUACGUUACAGCCGCGGUAAUACGUAGGUGCAAGCGUUAAUCGGAAUUACUGGGCGUAAAGUGGUGCAGGCGGUUCGAAAGAAAGAUGUGAAAUCCCAGAGCUAACUUGGAACUGCAUUUUUAACUACCGAGCUAGAGUGUGUCAGAGGAGGGAAUUCGCGUGCAGUGAAAUGUAGAUAUGCGGAGGAACAAUUACUUACAAAGCAGCCUGGGAUAACACUGACGCUCACGCACGAAAGCGUGGGGAGCAAACAGGAUUAGAUACCCUGGUAGUCCACGCCCUAAACGAUGUCAACUAGCUGUUGGGGUCUUCUGGCUCUGGUAGCGGCGCUAACGGGGUGUGAAGUUGACCGCCUGGGGCAUGGUCAAGAUUGUGGAAAACUCCCCAAAAGGAAUUGACGGGGACCCGCACAAGCGGUGGAUGAUGUGAUUGAUCGAUGCAACGCGAAAACCCACCAAUUUCGACAUGUCUGGAACUCACGAUUUGGGGAGGUCGCAAGAGAACUGGAACACAGGCGCUGCAUGGCUGUCGUCAGCUCGUGUCGUGAGAUGCUGGGUUAAGUCCCGCAACGAGUAAAGCAACCCUUUGUCAUUAGUUGCUACGAAAGGGCACUGACGAGACUGCCGGUGACAAACGGGAGGAAGGUGGGGAUGACGUCAAGUCCUCGCGGCCUCAAGGGUAGGGCUUCUACACGUCAUGCUGUAUCGUCGGGACAGAGGUCGCCAACCCGCGAGGGGGAGCCAAUCCCAGAAACCCGAUCGUAGUCCGGAUCGCAGUCUGCAACUCGACUGCGUGAAGUCGGAAUCGCUAGUACCUGCGAUCAGCAUGUCGCGUGAAUACGUUCCUGGUCUUGUACACACCGCCCGUCACACCAUGGGAGUGGGUUUUACCAGAAGUAGCUCAACCGGGUAAGGAGGGCGAUUACCACGGUAGGAUUCAUGACUGGGGUGAAGUCGUAACAAGGU